rnacentral:lncRNA from 1 species
GCAGGGCACUGGAAUGCUGCUCUGGUCCUGAUGACAUUCACUGACUAAGGGGAUGGACAGCUUAAAUUUGGUUGUGUGGAGGGGUGUGAACAGGAAGUUGGCAGGCCUAUCUUGUAGAAUAUAAUGUCACUUCUGAUAAAGAUUAUGUACAAGCUCCAUUUACCUUUUUAUUGAAGGGUUUAUUUCAUCCUAGAACUUACAGUCCUUCAUGAAGGGCGGCGAGGGCAGGAACUCAGGCGGGAACUGAAGCAGAGCCACAGAAGACUGCUGCUUAGUAGCUCGUUCUCCAUGAUGUCUCAGCCUGCUUUCUUCUCCUUCAGGACCCCUGCCCACGGGUGCCACCACCCAAG